GAAAAUAACUAUGAUUCCCUUAGUAACGGCGAGUGAACAGGGAGAAGCCCAAAUUUGUAAUCUGGCACUUUUUACGAGUGUCCGAGUUGCUAAUUUGUAGAACUGUUAUCCGUGCUGGACCAUGCUACAAUGUCUGUUGAAAAGCAGCAUCGUUGAAGGUGAAAAUCCUGUAGAUGAUAUGGACUACCAGUACUCUUGUGAUACGGUUUCUAAGAGUCGAGUUGUUUGGGAAUGCAGCUCAAAGUGGGUGGUAAAUUCCAUCUAAGGCUAAAUAUAAGUGAGAGACCGAUAGCAAACAAGUACCGUGAGGGAAAGAUGAAAAGAACUUUGAAAAUAGAGUUAACAGUACGUGAAAUUGCUGAAAGGUAAACGUUUGAAGUUAGUUUUGUAUUCGUUGGAUCAGCUUCGCAAGGAGUGUAUUCUGAUGAUAAGCAAGUCAACAUCAGUCUAUGAGUGUUGGAGAAGGGUUUUGAGAAUGUAGCAAUUUAAUUGUGUUAUAGCUUGAGACUUGGAUACGAUGCUUUGGAUUGAGGAACGCGUAGUAAGCUUUGAGCGGAUUCGAAAGGAUCUCCUUACUAUGGAUGUUGGUGAAAUAACUUUAAGCGACC
rnacentral:rRNA from 2 species